AGGGGGAAAGAUUUAUCGCUAUUAGAUGAGCCUACGUUAGAUUAGCUAGUUGGUGAGGUAAUGGCUUACCAAGGCUAUGAUCUAUAGCUGGUCUGAGAGGACGAUCAGCCACACUGGAACUGAGAUACGGUCCAGACUCCUACGGGAGGCAGCAGUGGGGAAUAUUGGACAAUGGGCGAAAGCCUGAUCCAGCUAUGCCGCGUGAGUGAAGAAGGCCUUCGGGUUGUAAAACUCUUUC
rnacentral:rRNA from 1 species